UAACUUCUCCAAUUUCACUUUCUAGGGUUAGAAAAAAAGGCAUCAUCUUUGCACAAAGCGUCGACUGCUCAUCUGUGCAAAAUUGUGAGUCGCGAUUUUGAGGCAGUGGCGACAAUUCCAGUGGACGGCGGUGAGUAAGCGGAGAUUUCAGGCAGCGACAGAUUCACGAAAUCUUCAAGACAGUCAUCGGCAACAGCUUAUCAGAAUCCAGCGGCUGAUAUAUACCUCGCGUGAAACAAGCUGUUGCAAAACUGGACAAUUGAGGACGCAAGAGAUGAAGUUAUUGGAGCAGAAGAAUUACAGGCGAUUCUUCUCCACCCAAAUCGGCGAAGCUUCAUACGUGCGGCGUAAAAGACACCAUUUUUCUGAAGAAAUCGCCAUCUGACGGCGAUGUCGAAGAUCUGAGUCAACAGUGCUAUAAUUUCUGGUGAAUAAAGGUGUUAGAGCAACGAUUACCAGUGAGGGAGAUGUUUGUUCAAAGCUUUCCAGUGUAUAUCGGGGUUCGAAUGACAAUUUUCAAGAUGUGUUACUGAU